GACGAACGCUGGCGGCGUGCCUAAUACAUGCAAGUAGAACGCAGUUGCGAACGGGUGAGUAACGCGUAGGUAACUGCCUGGUAGCGGGGGAUAACUAUUGGAAACGAUAGCUAAUACCGCAUACUACCAGAUGGACCUGCGUUGUAUUAGCUAUGUGGUGAGGUAACGGCUCACCAAGGCAACGAUACAUAGCCGACCUGAGAGGGUGAGCGGCCAAACGGUGACUGAGACACGGCGCAGACUCCUACGGGAGGCAGCAGUGGGGAAACGUCGGCAAUGGGGGGAAGCCUGACCGAGCAACGCUGCGUGAGUGAAGAGGGUUUUCGGAUCGUAAGGCUCUGUUGUUAAGGAAGCGGUACUUAACCAGAAAGGGACGGCUAACUACGUGACAGCCGCCGCGGUAAUAC
rnacentral:rRNA from 1 species